rnacentral:snRNA from 1 species
ACUGCCUCUUCCCUGGCUCC